GGGCCCUUCUCCUCCUCACUACAUUCUACUUCAAUCAAAGAUUUAGAGAAAUGGAGACUUUCUUAUUCACAUCUGAAUCAGUCAACGAGGGACAUCCCGACAAGCUCUGUGACCAGGUCUCAGAUGCCAUUCUUGAUGCUUGCCUGGAGCAGGAUCCCGAAAGCAAGGUUGCAUGUGAAACCUGCACAAAGACAAACAUGGUUAUGGUCUUUGGAGAGAUCACAACCAAGGCCACCGUAGACUACGAGAAGAUCGUACGUGACACAUGCAGAGGCAUUGGGUUCGUCUCAGCAGAUGUUGGUCUUGAUGCUGACAACUGCAAGGUCCUUGUUUACAUUGAGCAGCAAAGUCCUGAUAUUGCUCAAGGUGUCCACGGCCAUCUGACCAAA
rnacentral:misc_RNA from 1 species